CAGCCGCCGCGGUAAUACGUAGGGUGCAAGCGUUAAUCGGAAUUACUGGGCGUAAAGCGUGCGCAGUCGGUUAUAUAAGACAGAUGUGAAAUCCCCGGGCUCAACCUGGGAACUGCAUUUGUGACUGUAUAGCUAGAGUACGGCAGAGGGGGAUGGAAUUCCGCGUGUAGCAGUGAAAUGCGUAGAUAUGCGGAGGAACACCGAUGGCGAAGGCAAUCCCCUGGGCCUGUACUGACGCUCAUGCACGAAAGCGUGGGGAGCAAACAGGAUUAGAUACCCGGUAGUCCCUGUCUCUUAUACA
rnacentral:rRNA from 1 species